rnacentral:lncRNA from 1 species
UGUGCUCUGGGGACCGCUGCAUCCUCAGGCUGUGGACUAGGAAGCUGAGGGUCACCCAGACAAGAGGAGGUGCUGGAGGUCACACAGUGAAUAUGCCUCGCUGGCCUUCCUGUCUGGCGUGUCUUCCUCUGCCCCCAUCCAGGGAGGAUCACCUGAGCCCAGGAGGUCAAGGCUUCAGUGAGCUGCGAUCUCACUGUCAGGCCUCUGAGCCCAAGCUAAGCCAUGGCAUCCCCGGUGACUUGCACGUAUACGCCCAGAUGGCCUGAAGUAACUGAAGAAUCACAAAAGAAGUGAAAAUGCCCUGCCCCGCCUUAACUGAUGACAUUCCACCACAAAAGAAGUGAAAAUGGCCGGUCCUUGCCUUAACUGAUGACAUUGUCUUGUGAAAUUCCUUCUCCUGGCUCAAAAAGCUCCUCCACUGAGCACCUUGUGACCCCCCACUCCUGCCCGCCAGAGAACAACUUUGUAAUUUUCCUUUGUAAUCCCUUUGUAAUUUUCCUUUACCUACCCAAAUCCUAUAAAACGGCCCCACCCUUACCUCCCUUCGCUGACUCUCUUUUCGGACUCAGCCCGCCUGCACCCAGGUGAUUAAAAGCUUUACUGCUCACACAAA